AAGUCGUAACAAGGUUUCCGUAGGUGAACCUGCGGAAGGAUCAUUAUUAAUCCGAGCGAGGGAGAGUAUGAAGAGUAUUCUCCCUUUCACCAGUUGAAAUGUGAGUGGAGUCCUCUCUUGGACACCUCUAAACAUCAAUUGAUCAUUUUAUUCUCUACAAUACACAACUCGCAGCAACGGAUCUCUAGGCUCUU
rnacentral:misc_RNA from 1 species